UACAGAGGGUGCAAGCGUUGUUCGGAAUCAUUGGGCGUAAAGGGCGUGUAGGCAGUUUGUUAAGUCAUGUGUGAAAGCCCUGGGCUCAACCUGGGAACUGCGAUGGAUACUGAGGAGCUGGAGUACGGUAGAGGAAGGUGGAAUUCCCGGUGUAGCGGUGAAAUGCGUAGAGAUCGGGAGGAACAUCAGUGGCGAAGGCGGCCUUCUGGACCAGUACUGACGCUGAGGCACGAAAGCGUGGGGAGCAAACAGG
rnacentral:rRNA from 1 species